rnacentral:rRNA from 1 species
AACGAACGCUGGCGGCAUGCCUAACACAUGCCAGUCGAACGAGACCUUCGGGUCUAGUGGCGCACGGGUGCGUAACGCGUGGGAACCUGCCCUUAGGUUCGGAAUAACUCCCCGAAAGGGGUGCUAAUUCCGGAUAAUGUCUUCGGACCAAAGGUUUAUCGCCUUUGGAUGGGCCCGCGUUGGAUUAGCUAGUUGGUAGGGUAAAAGCCUACCAAGGCGACGAUCCAUAGCUGGUCUGAGAGGAUGAUCAGCCACACUGGGACUGAGACACGGCCCAGACUCCUACGGGAGGCAGCAGUGGGGAAUAUUGGACAAGGGGCGAAAGCCUGAUCCAGCAAUGCCGCGUGAGUGAUGAAGGCCUUAGGGUUGUAAAGCUCUUUUACCCGGGAUGAUAAUGACAGUACCGGGAGAAUAAGCUCCGGCUAACUCCGUG